rnacentral:rRNA from 1 species
AUGCAGCCUGUCGGGGACAUGGAUCGGAUCGUGGUCAAUCGUGCUAGAAUUGACCACCAGACGCACCUACACUUGAGUACGUCUGUGGUGCCGAUCCUAAUCUAUUAUACCAGACAGCCCAAAUCGGGUGAACCAAAAGAUUUGAGUCAACCAGCGGGUCUUUUUCCUGGCAUUGUUACUGUUUCUGCUAGAAACUUUUGUCAUAUAAUAGCAGCUGCAAGGUCACUCUUUCCAAGAACUCCAGAUCUAUUCAGAUUUGAAAUUCUCUUCCCCAAUGGAACAACCGUAGACACCAGGAACAUUGUUGUAGAACGAGGAGAAACAUUGGCCGCUUUCUUUGUUCUUGGUCCAAUUGGAGAUGUGAAUGAAGUGCGGUUUGUUGAUCAACCUGUUUCACGAAAUCAUAGCAUCAAGAUGUUUGGAUAUUAUCUUAAUCCAUUUCCACCAAGGCUACCCAUAAGUGAAUUAUGUGAUGGAUUUGCCAGCCAUCCAGGUGAUCGAUUUUUUCGACACGACUGCACACCAUCACAUAUUUCUGCUCGUGGGUCAGCUGUUUUCAACGACCAAGAAAGAUUGGUUGGCAUAUCAUAUGAGCGUCAUGGUUUAACAAAGGCCCUGGAUGUCGAGGGCAUAAGAUAUGAACUUUUACAGAUUUACGGAGGAAUGAAUGAGAUGUCCAUUUUGCAGAUUGUAGAACAUAUAAGAGCUCUAGGUGAAGUAAGAGCUGCGAAUCUUGCAGGCCCUUCUUGA